rnacentral:rRNA from 1 species
UUCCAGACUCCUACGGGAGGCAGCAGUGGGGAAUCUUCCGCAAUGGGCGAAAGCCUGACGGAGCAACGCCGCGUGAUCGAAUGAAGGCCUUCGGGUUGUAAAGAUCUGUUGACAGGGACGAAUAAGCAAUGCGAAUAGUUUUGUGUAUGACGGUACCUGUUUAGAAAGCUCCGGCUAACUACGUGCCAGCAGCCGCGGUAAUACGUAGGGAGCAAGCGUUGUCCGGAUUUACUGGGUGUAAAGGGAGCGCAGGCGGCACGGCAAGCCUGAUGUGAAAGCCCGCGGCCCAACCGCGGGACUGCAUUGGGAACUACCGGGCUGGAGUGCCGGAGAGGUAGGCGGAAUUCCUAGUGUAGCGGUGAAAUGCGUAGAUACUAGGAGGAACACCAGUGGCGAAGGCGGCCUACUGGACGGUGACUGACGCUGAGGCUCGAAAGCGUGGGGAGCAAACAGGAUUAGAUACCCUGGUAG